AAGCUAUGCUGGCGCAGAUGAAAGCUUCUAACUUUAUAUCUGAACGGUUCAACUCCUUUCAUAGCUUU
rnacentral:tRNA from 1 species